rnacentral:rRNA from 1 species
GUGGGGAAUAUUGCGCAAUGGCCGCAAGGCUGACGCAGCGACGCCGCGUGUGGGAUGACGGCCUUCGGGUUGUAAACCACUGUCGGGAGGGACGAAUACUCGGCCUCGAAUAGGGGACCGAGGGUGACGGUACCUUCAAAGGAAGCACCGGCUAACUCCGUGCCAGCAGCCGCGGUAAUACGGAGGGUGCAAGCGUUGUCCGGAAUCACUGGGCGUAAAGGGCGCGUAGGCGGCCGUCUAAGUCACUUGUGAAAUCCUGGGGCUCAACUCCAGGGCUGCAGGUGAGACUGGAUGGCUCGAGCACGGUAGAGGCGAGCGGAAUUCCCGGUGUAGCGGUGGAAUGCGUAGAUAUCGGGAAGAACACCGGUGGCGAAGGCGGCUCGCUGGGCCGUUGCUGACGCUGAGGCGCGAAAGCGUGGGGAGCAAACAGGAUUAGAAACCCUAGUAGUCC